UAGUCUUCUUUGAUCCUUGAAUUCUGUGGAGCUCAAAUAGACAACAAAGCUUUGUGGAACUGGUUAAGUGUUAGCAUAAAAUCUCUUAGCCUUUAUCAUGUUGAGCUUCCUCUAAUAAAUAUUACUCUCUUUGGUAGGAUCAUAAAUUUCUUUUUAUAUUUUCAUUUCUAUAGGACAAGAAUAUAUUUAUUUUUAUUUUUACGCCACAACAGUGAAUGUACUUAUGGGUUU
rnacentral:lncRNA from 1 species